AUCAUUUUGAACUACAUAAUAAUAUACCGAACGCUAGUUCAGAUUCUGAGCAGAGCGAGGAACCGUAUUGGCUUUAUAUUGAUAUUUAUUUCUUUUUUGUCGACUACUUUUCUACCAGACAUUUUGCACCGACAUUUUUCAAACGUAGCACCUUUUCUGAAAACAAAUUUCCACGGGCCGGACAAUCAAGGUGUACCGGAAAGAUUACGAAA